rnacentral:rRNA from 1 species
UACGUAGGGGGCAAGCGUUGUCCGGAAUCAUUGGGCGUAAAGAGCGCGUAGGCGGCCCUGUAAGUCCGCUGUGAAAGUCAAGGGCUCAACCCUUGGAUGCCGGUGGAUACUGCAGGGCUAGAGUCCGGAAGAGGCGAGUGGAAUUCCUGGUGUAGCGGUGAAAUGCGCAGAUAUCAGGAGGAACACCGAUGGCGAAGGCAGCUCGCUGGGACGGUACUGACGCUGAGAUACGAAAGCGUGGGUAGCAAACAGG